UGCCAUAUGGCUUAGUGGCUAUAGCGCGGGAUGGCUGUGCUCCUUAUCAGUGCCAUCUUUGUUCCCGUGGCGUGGUGUGGGUUUGAAUCCCACUAUGGCCA